CCAACGUGGACAUCCUGUGAGACUGCUCUCAUAUGGCUCUGUCUUUGUGGCGUACGGGAGCGUAGCACUUAAGUGCGUUGACGUACAGUCCCAUUCCACAACGUUGAAUAGUAAGCUGGUCCCUGGCCUUUGGCUGGUGUGGACUGUGUCCUGUAUAUUCCUACAUCUUUCCAGAGCCCUUCGGGCAGUUACUGGGGAGGUAAACCAUGCAGUGCACACUU